CCCCCCCGCCCCACCCCCGUCAGACCCCAGCACCUUUCUUUCCUCCGGAAGGGGAAAAACUAAAACGCUGACCAAAAGAAGAGAAUAAGCAGUGGGUUGUUCUGAAACUGAUAAACAACUUAAAGGCCUGUUUCUUUAUCUGUUGGAUACGGAGAGUGGUGUUAACUUCUGAAGGGCUUACUAUGUAUGAUGGCGUGGAAUCAGAACUAGAAGUUGCACAAUUCCAGGUCCCUGGCACGGAGUGGAUUCACCAGAACUCUUGGCUGCCUGGUGAGAUAGAGUUCAUCAGGUGGUAUGUGGUAACUACGGAGGUCUUCCUGCCCAUCCCAAUGCCAGCCCCCUCCUCCUCUGCUCUUCCAGAGUCUCAGCUGAUGACCAGAGGUGCCCAGGACUCAGAAUCACUUCCUUCCUUGUAUUCAGGGGAAGAGCCCCAGAGCCCGCCCUCGCUCUUCACAGGCCACUGUCUGAGUAUAAUUUUAGAGAGGCACCUUCCUGUCUUAAAAGAUCUUCUCCACCCAUGGGGAGGAAGGAGCAAGCAUUCAGCCCAUCACUUCACCAGCUUUGUGUCCCCGCACACUCAUAUCCCGAGGAACACCCCGACACUGAAAAUUGGAUGUAAUGUUCGAAAAGUAUUUGUGGAAUAAAAGUUUGUAAACCUUUCUACUUAAAACGUUAGAAAUAAAAUAUU